AACGCACAUUGCGCCCUCUGGUAUUCCGGGGGGCAUGCCUGUCCGAGCGUCAUUUGCAACCCUCAAGCCCGGCUUGUGUGAUGGGUGCCGUCCCCUACGGGACGCGCCCCGAAGGCAAUGGCGGCGUCGCGGUUAUCCGAUCAGCCAAAGUGUAUGGGGCUUUGUCACUCACUUUACGGCCCGGACCGGCGCCAGUCCGAAUCAAUCUUUUUUCUAAAGUUGACCUCGGAUCAGGUAGGGAUACCCGCUGAACUUAA
rnacentral:misc_RNA from 1 species